rnacentral:lncRNA from 1 species
GUACGCACAUGUGCUGAGGUGUGCGUGGAUGGGCUAAGGCUGAGGUGACGCACCUGCCUCCUGUGUGUGCAUUUGCUGCUCGAUAUUGUCUUGCUCUGUCCUCUGGAGUGUGUCAAGUUAUUGGGUCUAAAAACUCGUUUUGAUUUGGAUCUGGGAGAAUGUCUGAGCAAGGAGAACUAACCCCGACCAUACUGGAAGAAGGGCGGACAGAGCCAGAAUCUGCCCCAGAAAAUGGCAUCCUCAAGUCAGAAAGUCUGGAUGAGGAGGAGAAGCUGGAACUGCAGCGGCGACUGGCAGCUCAGAACCAAGAGAGAAGAAAAUCCAAGUCAGGAGCAGGUAAAGGGAAGCUGACCAGAAGUCUUGCUGUCUGUGAAGAGUCUUCAGCCAGACCUGGAGGGGAAAGUCACCAGGAUCAGGUAUAAAAACUGCUAUUAGAAGGGAUUGCAUGACUAUGUCUCUGUGUGCAUGAUGAGGUAUAAACCUGGUAUUAGAUGGGAUUGCAUGAGUAGAUCUCCGUGUGCAUGGCUAGCCACUAAUUUGACAUUAAACGAUGUUUUGUGGGAGAAAACAGGGAUUGAAGAAAGCAUUUUCUUGCUUCCUUCUGUUUAUGGGACAUUCUGCAUAGUUUAGAAGUUUGGGGCUGGGGAUGUCA